AGUGAACGCUGGCGGUAGGCCUAACACAUGCAAGUCGAACGGCAGCACAGUAAGAGCUUGCUCUUACGGGUGGCGAGUGGCGGACGGGUGAGGAAUACAUCGGAAUCUACUUUUUCGGGGGGGUUAACGUAGGGAAACUUACUCUAAUACCGCAUACGACCUACGGGUGAAAGCAGGGGAUCUUCGGGCCGUGCGCGAUUGGAUGAGCCGAUGUCGGGUUAGCUAGUUGGCGGGGUAAAGGCCCACCAAGUGGACGAUCCGCAGCUGGUCUGAGAGGAUGAUAAGCCACACUGGAACUGAGACACGGUCCAGACUCCUACGGGAGGCAGCAGUGGGGAACAUUGGACAACGGGGGCAAGCCUGAUCCAGCCAUACCGCGUGGGUGAAGAAGGCGUCCGGGUUGUAAAGACCUUUUGUUGGGAAAGAAACGCAGCCGGUUAAUACCAAGCUGUUCUGACGGUACCCAAAGAAUAAGCACCGGCUAACUUCGUG
rnacentral:rRNA from 1 species